rnacentral:rRNA from 1 species
AUGCCAGGCGCUCAACCAGUGAACAUACGACCGUACAGGCACAAACCAGAGCUCAAAUCAGAGAUUGAGAGACAAGUCGAAGAAAUGUUGAAUUCGGGAGUGAUACAACGCAGCACCAGCAGUUUUUCCUCUCCCGUCAUCUUAGUCAAAAAGAAGGACGACACCUGGCGCCUAUGCGUCGAUUACAGGCAUCUUAACACAAUGACGUGUGUCGGCAAGUUUCUGGUGCCCAUCAUCGAAGAGUUAUUGGAUGAGCUGCAUGGAGCAGCCUGGUUCUCCAAGCUCGAUCUCAGGGCGGGGUACCAUCAGAUACGGCUUGCGGAGGGUGAGGAAUACAAAACAGCCUUCCAGACGCACACGGGCCACUAUGAGUUCAAGGUUUUAUCGUUUGGACUCGCAGGGGGGCCACCUACAUUCAUAGGGGCCAUGACAGACACAUUUCACCCCCUGUUGAGGCAUUGUGUACUGCUGUUCUUUGAUGACAUCCUUGUGUUCAACAAAACAUGGGAAGAACACUUGGAUCAUCUCAGGCAAGUUCUGGCCCUGCUGUAUAUGCACCACAUCUACAGGAUACAUGGGUUCCCAAGCGCUCUUGUCUCUGACCGUGACCCAGUGUUCACUAGUCUGUUUUGGCGAGAGCUGUUCAAGUAUGCAGGGACAGAGUUAAGAAUGAGCACUGCUAAUCACCCACAGACGGAUGGCCAGACAGAACGCGUCAAUCAGUGCGUGGAAACAUACCUUCGAUGCUUCGUGCAUGCUUGCCCUCAAUGUUGGAGCCAUUGGAUACCUCUAGCUCAGUUCUGGUAUAACUCCUCCUUCCACUCCAGUAUCGGUAUGUCACCCUUCAAAUUAAUGUUUGGCCACGAACCACGGCACUGGGGGAUCACAGCAACCAGUGAGUGUACAGUUCCUGCUUAG